UAGGUGCUUUAUAUUUUGAUGAAAUCGUGUUUUUAAGAGUAGAAAUUGGUUUUAAAAAAAAUGGUUCCUUUUCGUUUACUAUUUCUAUGGAUAAAAAUUGAAUAUACAUUUUGUAUUUGUAAAAAAACUAUGCUCAAAACAUCAUGAAAUCUUUUUUUUUUAAAUGCAAUUGCUGCAUUUGUACAGCAGUACUCAAACUGUAACGAUUAUUUGGCGAAAACUGCUGAAGCUUUUCAUUUUGUUUUCAUGCAGGUGGAAGCUUGGCAGUUACUUAUGUUCCGUGGACUUACUUCUCGCUCCAUAGCGUGUGUACAUUUUUCUUUUAGUGUUGAAGGAAGACUACCAGGGGGCCCGCAGAACAUUGUUACAUGCAUGAGCGACUAAGCGCUUGGGUAGAAUCCACUAACUGUCUGUGGGUCAGCUUGAUGGCUUCCUCACAAUAAGAAUUCAACACCUCAAAGCAAGGUUUCAAACCCACAUAGAGGAAGGGCAAGUGAUUCGAAGUCAGCGGCCACGGAGCCCAUCUUCUUCUGCUCACCUAUCUCCCACUAAGUAAAACUUGUACAUUUAAAAGUAAGGAAAUUGCAUCGAUCGUCAAGAAUGAUAUCGAAAAGAUAUUGACAGAAGUUACUGAAAGCAAUUUGGAAUUAAAAUAAUCAGUUGGCUAUAACCUAACGUAUUGCAAAUUUAUAAUACAAUCUACUCACUUUCUUGAAAACGCGAGCCUUGAUUCUUACUGCCUUACGUGAGAACCAUGGAACGACAGGGAAUAAUCAUCGUAGAUGUCGUGCAAGCCCAUUUCGAAAAACCAAAAUCUCGACUGAAGGUAAGAGUUGUAGAAGACUUUAUAUCAGGAAAAAAAUGGUUUUAUAUUAGACAUAUCGUGAAAAUCAGAACGAGCAGUGUUACCCAUUAAAUGUGAUUUCGCAGUGAACUAUAAUUAAAUGUUCUUCAGAAAAAAUUAAUACAAUGAAGUCUUGUCUUGACUUUUACAUUUGUAACAGAUACGAUGUCAGUGUUACAAAAAUAUUGAGGGUGAAAUAUUGAAGUGAGCCUGAAAACAAUUAAAAGUGUUGGAUAUACAGGCAAGUGUAGUAAAAUCAGGUUAAAACUUAUUGCAAGUAUGUUGGCGUACUACCUGACUGAAGCGUUCAAUCGUGGACAGGAGAACAAUUUCAGACGAAAGAUUCUUCCAUAAGAUGAGGAUACUUGAAGAUAAAGAAAAGUAAGAAUAAUAAGUGCAAACUGUAUGGAUUUGUAGUGAAAGGACAAAUUUGCUAUACAUUACUAUUUUGCAUCAGUUUAUCUGUUCUCCGAAGAUCUUAACCCUCGAGCAUUUAGGUUACAAGACUGAAAUGAGUAUUCCAAGAUUCUUUAACCAUUUUUGUUUUUAGUUUGGAUGUUACGUUUUUGAAGCAUAAUGUUUGCUGUUAUGUAGAUUUUGUUAAUAUAAGUGUUAAAAGAAAGGUCGUUUUAUAGGUCUACUCCACGAUGUUAUGUAUUUAUUAUGGUUUCAAGAAUCUUGUCGCGAAAUAUAAAAUUAUAAUCA
rnacentral:lncRNA from 1 species